rnacentral:lncRNA from 1 species
GGAAAAGCCAAGGGGUCUGAAUACUUUCCGAAGGCAUUGUAUUUACAUAUGUUGUGGUCUUGUGAAGGCUGGCUAAAUUCUGGAGAAGACUACGUUCUUUUAUCUCAGCAUGUCUACAGAUUCUCCCUUCUCCCUGUUUUUGUUUGCUUGGAAAUGUAAAUACUGGAGACAGUUAUCAGAAGAAACUGUGUAACCUAGCAUUUAUAGUGGCUUAUAAAUGCAUUGCCAUUAUUUGGAAGGUAGGUUAUCCUCCCACAAUGUAUGGAAGAAAUGUCAGGUUACGUACAGUAUCACUAGAUUUGUUUUAAGAUUAAGGGUAUACUGCAACUUUCACAAGGUCCGGAUGCCUUAUAUGGAAUACUGUAUGACAAAAGGAGUCUGUAUUGAUAACAUGGCCACGUCAGUGGAGAUACCUAUUUAGGCAAUCCCAAGCUGCUGGUCUGCUAAGUCCUGGUCCCUGGGUGUCUACUGUUGGUUGUCACUUUGGCCUUGGCCUAACACACCUGAAACCAAUAAUACAUGUUUCACUAAGAUCCGAAAGCUGAGUUGGGUGUGUUGGGUUGGGGCGCUACAGGGCCAUGGACCCUUAGGCCUAUGGUAUGAAUUAUAUGGAGAUUGUACUGUUUCUGUCAAUGUGUAGGUGUAUGUGUGUUUUUAUUCAACUUUUGUAUUCCAAACCUUUCCCUUGAGACAUAACAAAGGAGGGAAGGAAGUUGUGUUGGGGAGAGAGGAGUUAUUGACUAGACUGGUGUUGGUUGGACGUGUAGGGGCCUCAGGUUGGCUGAGAGGUCUGCCUGAAAUUUGAUUUAGAGGAUGUCUUAAAGACAAUCAAAAGUUGUCUAUGUACUUUAUUUGUAAUAGUUGUUUGUUUGUUAUGGCUGUUGGUUAAAGGUGCAACAUAAUAUUGAUUAUUGAAUUAUCAUGGAUCUAGUUCAGUCUUAUCAAUCCCUUAAACAUAAUUCAUAAUCUCUUACCUAGCUCUUACCUAAAUGUGGGCAUUUUUGCUUGCUUUUUGUUGUUCUAAAUAGAGAUGACUACAAGAGCCAUGGGUCAUAUUAGAUUAUGUAGAAAUGCAGGAAAUUUGCUUUAGAUGCCCCAAAAAAUGGGAGGACCUCAGACCCCAUGCCAAGUUAUGUCACCCUGUGCAAAUAACACGGCUGGGUGAUUUAAAAAGUGAUAGUCAAUAGAUCAAUAAUAUAAUAAUACUUUUAGCAAAGAAGUUUAUUUUUAAUUUACAAUAUGUAGAAUCUAUAAAAAUAGAAAGGUUCAGAACUUUCUGGAAACAUCACAGCACAGUUGAAAAAUAUAUGGCAAAUAGAAAUCAAAACUUGAUAGCGUUCAGAGAUAGAUGGGAGGGGUUGAGUGGAGCUGAAGGUUGGGGCUAAAAAUAAACAAAAGAUAACUAUUGUAAAAUAUGCUGUGUCUGCGAAAUGUACACUACCGGUCAAAAGUUUUAGAAGACCUACUCAUUCAAGGGUUUUUCUUUAUUUUUGACUAUUUUCUACAUUAUAGAAUAAUAGUGAAGACAUCACAACUAUGAAAUAACACAUAUGGAAUAAUGUAGUAAUCAAAAAAGUGUUAAACAAAUCAAAAUAUAUUUUAUAUUUCAGAUUCUUCAAAUAGCCACCCUUUGCUUUGAUGACAGCUUUGCACACUCUUGGCAAUCUCUCAACCAACUUUUGGUUACUACAUGAUUCCAUGUGUUAUUCCAUGACUACAUGUGUUAUUUCAUAGUUUUGAUGUCUUCAGUAGUAUUCUACAAUGCAGAACAUAGUCAAGAAAAACCCUUGAAUGAGUAGGUGUUCUAUAACUUGACUGGUACUGUACAUCGAUGGAAGCAACAAUCUAUCUGCAACAUAAAAAAAUGAAAAAGUUAUGUCCCCGCCCACUUCUAAAACCAAAGUUGCACCCCUGGGAUAUGGUAUUUGUAAAAUAUAUUAUUUGUUAUAUGUAUCAUAUGUUAUAUGUAGAAUGUGUUAUAUGUAGAAUCUUUUAUAUGUAGAAUGUUGUACAUGUAGAAUAUGUUAUGUGUUAUAAGUAGAAUAUGUUAUAUAUAGAAUAUGUUUUACGUAAAAUACGUUUUAUGUAAAAUAUGUGUAACGGUGUCGUAUAAAGGGGACCAUGGCGCAGCGUGUUGCGUGCUCAUAAUUAUAUUUUAAUGAAAACGAAAACUUAUACAAAAGAAACAAAACGACAGUCAACAGUUCUGUCAGGUUACGUGAACGAAACAGAAAACAACUACCCACAAAACACAAUAGAAAAAAACCCAACUUAAAUAUGAUCUCCAAUGAAAGACAACGCGAACCAGCUGCCUCUAAUUGGAGAUCAUCUCAAAACUCCAACAUAGAAAUAGAAAAACAAGAACUAAACAUAGAAACAAAAAACUUGUUAUAUGUAGAAUGUCAUAUGUUUAAUAUCGUAUAUAUAGAAUAUGAUAUACG